UACGUAGGGACCAAGCGUUGUUCGGAUUUACUGGGCGUAAAGGGCGCGUAGGCGGCGUGGUAAGUCACUUGUGAAAUCUCUGAGCUUAACUCAGAACGGCCAAGUGAUACUGCUGUGCUAGAGUGCAGAAGGGGCAAUCGGAAUUCUUGGUGUAGCGGUGAAAUGCGUAGAUAUCAAGAGGAACACCUGAGGUGAAGACGGGUUGCUGGGCUGACACUGACGCUGAUGCGCGAAAGCUAGGGGAGCAAACGGGG
rnacentral:rRNA from 1 species